rnacentral:pre_miRNA from 1 species
GGCAGUGAUUGUCCAAACGCAAUUCUUGUGUUCAGGAUAGUCAAGGGCUGUGUGUGGACAUCAAUGCU